rnacentral:lncRNA from 1 species
AUUGUUAGGUUUAAAUUAAUUAAGAGCUAACUUAAACUUGUAAGUCAGGGGUAUUGAUCUGACCUAAAUUUUUUAUUUAGUCUUGCAAAGAGCCGAUUUUAAUUUUUUUUUGUUUUAAUUAAUUAAGGAUUAAGGAAAAGAUUACAAUUAGGGGUAUUUUUCAUUAAGGGUAACUUAGUAAUAUUUUUGUGAGAUUGAAUGUGAGCACUUUCAACUACUCCUUUAAUAAUAUAGAUUCGAUUGAUUACAAAUGCUAGAGAUGGAUGAAUAAUGUUUACAAGUGUGAAGAAAGCCUUGCUGAAAUUUGGUCCCAAAUGGGAUAAGAACCCACAACCAUUACUUUGAGGUAGUAAAUUGCUUGUAUAGAGUUGUCUUGGAUUAGAAUAUGUUAUAAUACAAAGAAUUUAAUAGAUUACAAGUGCUAGACAUGGAUGAAGAAUAUUUAGAAGUGUGAAGAAAGCCUUGUUGAAAUUUGGUCCCAAAUGGGAUAAGAACGCACAACCAAAGCUUUGAGGCAGUAAAUGGCUUGUAUAAUGUUAUUUUGGAUUAGAA